AAAAUAUAAAUAAAAAUAUUUUAUCAGUUUUUUCUUAUUAUAAUUAAAAAAGAACUGGAGACUAUAAAAGGGUAUGCAUGGAAGUCUAGAGAUCACAGAAAACACACACUUCAUUUCUUAAGAAAAAAGUUGUUGAAGUUUGAAGAGAUCAUGAGGGCAAUAUAUAUUAUCAGCAUCAUUAUAGUGAGCUUGAGCAUUUUCUCUUGUGGUGGGAAUGCUCGACUUCUUCCUGCUAAUAGAGAUUAUCCAUGGGCAAUGUUUGCCCUAAGGCUUCAAUGGCCAGCUGGAUUUUACGAGGUCAACAAUGACUGUGAUACAAAGUCUCUCCUCAACACAUUUACCAUUCACGGCCUUUAUCCCUAUAACGCGAAGGGGAUCCCAGUGUUAUAUUGUGACGGAACUGCCUUUGAUGUUAACUCUGUGAGUUCUCUCAGUCUGCAUUUAAUUUACUUCUUAAAAUCCUUGCUCUAUUGUCUAUUAAAUAUGUUUUUUUGUGGUAACAUUUAUAUAUAUCUUGAAGAGUUGGAUAUGUUUGUUUGAUAAAAAAAAUGAAAUUGUACAUGCAAUAUAUAUCCAUACAUACUCACAUAUGUUAAACUAAUUUCUCUCCUCCUUUAUUUUGAAAAUUAACAGGUAUCGGACUUUCAAGCAGAAAUGCAUCUUGCAUGGCCGAGUCAUGAAACUAAUACUGAGGACAAACAAUUCUGGGAACACGAGUGGAAUAAACAUGGAAGGUGCUCAGAAGCUUUGUUGAAGCAGACUGAUUAUUUUAGAACGGCGCUUGCUUUUAGAAAAGCAUUUGAUAUAAUUGGGCUACUAAACCAGGAAGGUAAACAUACCCAUUGAUAUAUAAUUAAAUAGUCUUUAAUUUGGUUCAUUAAUUGCUUCCUAAGGGAACUACGUACUUAAUUUAGAUUUUGUGGAUGAUUAAUUGAUAAUGUGAGUUUGAUGAGAUUACUAUUCAAAAAUGUGUAGGGAUUUACCCGAAUAACGACCUUUAUCGUCCUAAAAUGAUAAAAGAAGCAAUCAAAAAGCACUUGAAUGCUGUGCCAGAAAUCGAUUUCACCAAAAACGAAAACUCAGAAUAUGUGCUUACGGAUAUUAAUCUAUGUGUGAACCAACAAGCAACAAGGUUCGUAGAUUGCCCUACCGAUGACGCUACUGAUGACUACCGCCUCAAAUUCGUAAGACUACCUUCUAAAAUGAAAAUUGCGGAUCCGAGGACCAAUUCUAUAAUAUAGCACAAAUGGUACGGCUACAAAAUGGACUACUAUCUUGUUUAAUUAAUGCUUUUGGGAGUAUAUAUUAUCUAUGUAAAAUAGUUAUGAGUGCUAGGGUUGGCUAAUUAGUACUAUGAGGCCAACCUUUAGUAUCUCUUGAAUAAUGUCCAUGUAGCAAAAGUUUAUAGCACUCUGGCCUUGGUGUGUAUGGAUAAUUAUAAUAAAUGACUACUUUUAUCUGCAAAAAAAAAUAAAAUCCAAGUAUUUUCUUUUGUUUUUAUUUUUGAUAAGAAUUUAAUUUUAUGUAGUUUGAUGGCAUAGUUUAUCUAGGAAGCUGAUAUUUUCACAUGUUAAAAUGAUAUUUUCAAACGAGUCUCUCACAAUAUGGAUGUGGGACUUGCUCACUAUUCAUGUGAGAGGGAUUAUGUGAAAAUAUCAAAUUUUUAUGUGAAAAUAUUAGCUCCCUUUAUCUAUUAUAAUGGUGAAACAUGACUUUUUGAUAUUUUUCACAUGAAAAUCGUCGCUAUAGAUCCUUUAGUAGUGGUUUUUACUGUCGCUAUACAUCUCUAUAGCUACAUUUUUUAUAUAAAAAUAUCAAAAAAAUAUGUGGAAAUAUCAAGCAUGCAUGCAUCGUACCAGAAAACAUUUAAAGGGACACUUCAAAGGGAUUUCAGACAAAAAAUAAAACCAAAAAUAAAUGAUUUCAUCACAAUUUUGUUUUCAAGUAUUGUCGCAAAUCAGUGGUCACUAAAAAAAAAAAGGAAAAUAUAUUUGUCGCAAUCUAUAAAACAUGACUGAAAACAGGGGCGAAGCCACAGUUCAGGAUGUGUGGUCAAUUGAUUUCAUUGAAAAAUAUAUAUUUUAUAAUAUAUGAUAAAUUUAAAGAAUAUUUAAGUGUAAUAAAUAAAUUGACUUCAUUGAAAUUUUAUAACCUUUUUAAUAUACGGUGUUAAAUUGAAUUUUUUAUAACUUUCUCAAUUCUAUAUUAUUUCUACUCCUUGAUGUAUGCUUAUUUCUCUAAUAUUUUUAAAAUAAAUAAUAAUUUAAUUUAUAUUAUUUUUAUAUCAUAAGAAAUUUAAAUAUUUAUUAACAAAUUUAUGAUUAAAAAACGUAUUAGGGGUCAAUAAGGAGUUUUUUUGUGUGUGUGUGUGUGUGUGUGUGUAUAUAUAUAUACAUGUUGUUUCAUUUUAUGUCUUUAGGUUUAGUUUAUCAGGAUACUAGGUAGAUUAUUUCAUUUGGGUCUCUCUUGAGCCUUAAUUUUAGGUUGCCCUCUUUUAUAAAGAGGAUGAUUCGAUUUCAACUGCUGACAUCUGUACCAGUUGGUUCAUGGACAAGUUUCUUUUGAUAAGUUAGUAUCAUGGACAAAUAUAAAUAAUAAUUAACUGUUACAAUGAAAAUUAAACUUCAAUUAAGUCUAGGCCAUUCAUACAUUGAAAAAAGCUUCUUGAAUAGGUUAGAGAGUUUGUGAAAUAUUUUUUUAGUUUGCUUAACCCUUUGAAAAGCGGUUGUGGUAAGAACAAAUAUUGAUAAGUUAUUGAAACACCGCUUUUCAAAGGGUUAAGCAAACUAAAAAAAUAUUUCACAAACUCUCUAACCUAUUCAAGAAGCUUUUUUCAAUGUAUGAAUGGCCUAGACUUAAUUGAAGUUUAAUUUUCAUUAUAACAGUUAAUCAUUAUUUAUACUUGUCCAUGAUACUAACUUAUCAAAAGAAACUUGUCCAUAAACCAACUGGUACAGAUGUCAGCAGUUGAAACCGAAUCAUCCCCUUUAUAAAAGAGGGCAACCUAAAAUUAAGGCUCAAGAGAGACCCAAAUGAAAUAAUCUACCUAGUAUCCUGGUAAACUAAACCUAAAGACAUAAAAUGCAGUAACAUAUGUACAUGAAGGACAUAUUGAAACACUGCUUUUUUUUUCUUUUUUGAUAAGUUAUUAAAACACCGCUUUUCAAAGGGUAAGCAAACUUGAUACAGGAAGAGAAGUAACCCUUUGAGCAGCAGGAACCCAUCUGGGUGGAGGCGAAUCCAACAAUCAACUCAGAAUUACAAAAUCCUAUACAAUAAGAUUACACACAAACUCUAAAUUUCAUUCAUUUAGUUAGAAAAUUAGAAAAUACCUUGGGAGACGACGAACUUGCUUUCGAAUUCGUCCGGCGAACUUGCUUUCGAAUUCGUCCGACGAGAUGCUUGGAUUUGCGAUUGAGAAUGAGCCAGAUUUCGUCUGGCGAGAUGCUUGGAUUCGCGAUUGAGAAUGAGCAAGAUGGUCUCUGUCCUUUUUUUGACCCGAAAAGGAUCCGCGGCUAUUUUUUCCCAAAAGGUCUGUGUCUUUUCCUCGCCGUUGGAUGUAUCUCACGAUUAGUAUGAAAAGUUCGUAUUUUUGGCAACAUCCGGGCGCCCGGACCAGAUCGUUUCUGUAUAUGUAUGUAUGUAUAUAUAUAUAUAUAUAUAUAUAUAUAUAUAUAUAUAUAUAUGCGUUGUGAGAUCUGUGGUAUUGUGUUGCAUGGGGUAAUAUAAACUAUGCAAUAAGUGAUUUCUGUGUUUAAUAAAUAUAUUAUUAUAUAUUUGUUAUUUAUUGAAGAGGCAAGUUAUUUGAAGUAAAGAAGAUGGAUAAAAAUUUAUCGAUAUUAAAUAAUUUAUGUGAAAUUAUUUUAUCGUAGUAAGUUGGUGACAUUAAAUAUAUUUGAUAAUCACCAAUUUCUUUAGUAUAUGUAUGAGUAAGUAUCACGUCUAAGGCAGUGCAACCGUACCCUUUAAUGGUGGUUGUGUAGGAGCUGGGCUAACUGAUUCCUUCAGAGAGCGGAGAUAUAUACAAAUUAGUAACCGAUCUAACUUACUGUGAAAACAGUGUAGACGAGAAGGAAAGUAAUUUGUUGGUUAUUUGUGGGAAACCACUCAGUGUACUAUAUUGAAUACUAUUAAAGACUCGAUGUGUGUUAGGUUUAGACUUGUAUAUAUAUACGUUAUUGACGAGAGAAGAAAAUCGAUAUAUCUUUAGAUAAAUAUUGGUUAGAGAUUUAUUGAUUAAUAUUGAGAUAUGAUUAAAUGUAUAGAUUAAAGAAAUUGUGUUGAGACAAUUUAUAGAAAGGAAAGAGAAAUAAUUAUAGUAUAUUUCUAAUAAAGGAUAUUAAAAUAAAUUCUAGCAUUUGAUUAUUUUAAUAAUAAUGGGGAAUAUUAUUUUGAAAUUACCUUAUAGGUAAUGUGUGUGAUUAAGUAAUAUGGUAAAUAUAUUAAAACAUAUUUGCUAUAUAAGUUGAUGGAAACAAUUUAUCAUAAUAGGAAAUAAACUUAUUUUCUAUAUAUAGUGUGUACGUGUGUCGUGCAUGUAAAUAUUUUAAUAAUACAUAGAUAUUAUAUUAACAAUAAUAUCUUGAGAAAAUGAGUAAAUCGUUUUAUUAUGAUUAGUUCCUAUAUUUAGAGAAAACAUGAUAAAAUCAUCGUAUGUUAUGUUAUGGCGAAAUACAUAAUUUUGAUUGUAGUAAUGUAUUUCCAAGAAGGUUAAAGUUAAAAGAAAACUAAGUUAUUCUAAUAACUUGAGUUAUUAUAUUACCGCGAAUGUUAUAAAGAAUAUUUAAAUAUCUUCAUUCACGAUAUAUUUAUAUAUGUGAAUCUUGUGAUAUAAUAGUUCGAUGUAAAUUGAACAUAUUAUAAAUAGUAAGGUUCGUGGUAAAUGAAUAAGUAAUGAGAAUGAGGAUAAGCUUAAUGUAAGCUUGUGAGAUAUGCCUAGUGUGGUAAAGUGAUGGAAUAAACAUUCAUUAAAUAAUUUAAUGAAUGAAUAAUUGAAGGAAUUAAAUUGUAUGUGCAAUGAUUAUAUAUUAUAUAGUAACUACAUCUAUAUGAUAUGAAAUGAAGUGUGACACUUCAAUGGUAACUAUAUAAUAUAUGAAGUAUUUGAAUACAUAUGUAUAAAGACUAGUAUGCUAGCAUUAUGUACAAGUGAGAUAAUAAAUGUAAUAUGGUACAAUAGACCACUUCCAUGACCAUAUUAUAAGAUGUAAUGUUAAGAAUAAUAUUAUUUUGUGAGAUUAUUUUAUUAUAAGCUUGUGGACUAUUAAUUACUAAGUUCACAUAAUUAUGUCUUGUGUGGCAUAACUAGUGAAGUUAAAUCAAAGGGAGAAUUAAUGGAAAGUAUUAAAAGAAAAUAAAUGGUGAGUUAAUAAAUAAUUGAUAUUAAUUAUCAUUAUGAUAAUUGAGGGUAUUUGAGGUAAUAAAGUUUAUGGAAAAUGAUGGAUUGAGAAUAUCCAACUAUUUUAUAUUUAGCCCAAUAAAAAUAUUAAUUGAAAUAAACCAAUGUACAUAGAUUAUAUAAAUUCUAUGUGUAAUGUAUAAGUGAGUGUAUAUGUAUGAUCAUUUUUGGACAAAUAUCAAAUAAACCUAAGUAUGCUAAUAGUAAUACAAAAUGUUGAGUUUUAAGGGUAGUGUCCCAAAUUGUGUGUCAUUUCUCCAUACACGUGAAAUGCAAAAAGGAUAGCUAGCUAGCUUGCUUCUUCUUCUCCAAAAUCCAUAGCUUCCAAAUGAUGAAAAGGGGAGUGAGUUGAUUUGAUUUUCCACCAACUUCUCAUGAACCAUUAGUUUCUUCUUCAUUCCAUUGAGCAAAGUUCCAAUGUUGGUCAAAAAGUUUUCCUAUAAAUGAAGCAAGUUUCAUUCUUGUACUUCUUGUUGAUCACUCUGUGAAGUUCAAAAAUUUGUGUGUGUGAGUGUUGUUGAGUUGGAGAGGAAACUUGAGAUUGAAAGCAAAGAGUUUACUUCACAACUUUAGAAGGUAAUAUCCCUCUAUAUGUUAUUGAAUUCAAGUUUUGCAAAGUUCUUAAAAAAGUACUAAAAUACUUGUUUUGAGUUGAAAAGUUUAUGGUUGAAGCAUGAUAAAGUGUGUCAAUUGAUGCUAGACACUGAUAAUAUAGUCAUAUGCGAAAACAGCGAGAGUUAAACGGACCAAUUUGGUUUAGAAACGAAUUCGUAGUGAAUGAAUUCACUAAACUUUUCAAAACAUGAAAAUUAGUAUGAACAUGAGUUUUGGAUUAAGAAUUAGGUUAGUUAGGGUUUCUGUAAAUUGUUAUAAUUCUAGUAUGUUGUAGUUCUAUGAAUUACGAAUCCAUAGAAUCAAAAACGGACUAAUUUGGACAUGUAUAACUCAAAUUAUGAAGGUUAGAAAGAGGUUUGGCAUGAUAUCUCGUAGCAGGGGAAAUGAAAAUUUUCAAUUUCAACAGCUAUGCCCGCCCCGGCGGGGGUCUUGCUGUGAAAAAGGCCCGCCCCGGCGGAAGAGGUGGGGGGGGNNNNNNNNNNNNNNNNNNNNNNNNNNNNNNNNNNNNNNNNNNNNNNNNNNNNNNNNNNNNNNNNNNNNNNNNNNNNNNNNNNNNNNNNNNNNNNNNNNNNNNNNNNNNNNNNNNNNNNNNNNNNNNNNNNNNNNNNNNNNNNNNNNNNNNNNNNNNNNNNNNNNNNNNNNNNNNNNNNNNNNNNNNNNNNNNNNNNNNNNNNNNNNNNNNNNNNNNNNNNNNNNNNNNNNNNNNNNNNNNNNNNNNNNNNNNNNNNNNNNNNNNNNNNNNNNNNNNNNNNNNNNNNNNNNNNNNNNNNNNNNNNNNNNNNNNNNNNNNNNNNNNNNNNNNNNNNNNNNNNNNNNNNNNNNNNNNNNNNNNNNNNNNNNNNNNNNNNNNNNNNNNNNNNNNNNNNNNNNNNNNNNNNNNNNNNNNNNNNNNNNNNNNNNNNNNNNNNNNNNNNNNGUGUCCUGCAAUGACUUAUUUUAUCUGUUUUGGUAAAACGGAUAUAACGUUUUCAUACAAACUCCGAUUGAGGAGAUUCAAGAUGAUCCGGAACGAGAAUGAAUAGACCCUCAACUUUUGUUCUUUACAUUUUUCAUUUUGAGGUUGUUAGAAUGGGUCAAAACAGUCAUCUUUGUGACUGUUACGUAUAUGUUAUUCUAAGUUAUUAAACAUAAAUAUGUAUGAUAAUAGACAUGUCAUAUAGCUAAGAUUUCUUUACUCAUAAUGAAAUGCGUUAACAUGAUUUUCUAAAAAACACUUAAAAGUUUUUGAGAAACGAAAGUUGAUGAAAUUGGUGUCCAUUGAGUUCUGAGCUUGGACCCUAUGUACGCAUAUCAAUGGACAUGAAAUUUAGUUUUAAAGUUACCUUGCAUAUACUAGAUUGAUAUAGCUUGGUUUAAAGUGUUUUGAAAGAAAAACUUGAAGUUUUGAAAAUGAAACUUGACGAACUUUGUGUCUUUUAAGCUUCGACUUUGGGAACAUGUGAUUGUGGCCUAGUUAUGCGUGUGGAUGGACAAGGAAUGUAAUUUCAAGAUAUAUUGCACAUAAAAGGUUGUCAAGCUCGGUUUAGUAUGUGUUUUAAAUUUUUUUUAAAAGUUUUAGAAACUAACUUUGAUGAGCAUUGUAUUACUUGCAUUAUGACCUUAUAAGCAAGCAUGAUAGAGUUGUCUAUGACUUUGAACAUGAAUGAUAUGUGCACUCAACUAGUCAAGCAUGACCUAAGUUAUUUAAGCAUGUUUUAAAAGUAUGAACUAUGCUAUGUCUAUGUAAAUGAGAUAGAUACAUGUGAUCAUGCUAUUAGAGGCUUAUUAGUACCAAUAUAUAGUUUAAAAGCUUAUAACAUUGAAUCUUGUUAAAGAAAGUUGUUAAGCCUUAUUGAUUAAAAUAAAUCAUUAUGGAGCUAAGUAGUUUGAAUAUGAACUUGAAAAUAGAUCACAACCUAUUUAAUGUCAAGUACGGAUGGUUAAGAUAUACUUAUACAUGCCUAGCUAUUCAAAGAUUAGGAAGAGAAAGUGAAAUGAAGGUUUUACAAACCUAGUUAGGAAACGAUAUAAUAUUUAUUAUUAUAUUAAGAGCAUAUGAAAUGUAUGACUGAUGGAUAUGAAUCCAUGAUUAUAUAACUAUGUAGGAAUACACGCAGUGCAGAUAAGCUUUAAGCAGUUAAGUCAUAGUUGAUAAACUAUGAAUCAGGGUCUUUCAGUUCUUAUUUGAUAUAUGAAUUUGAUAAUUGUUAGUUGAGCUAUAUUAUGCUAUGAGAAUGUUGAUGUAUAUAUAUGAAAUGCAUAUGAGAUAUGUAUGAAAUUGAAAGUUGAUCUUUGAUGAUAUGCUUGUGAAGUAAAUGUCUAUGCCUGUUAUGUGAGAAGUAACAUGUGUAGUAAAUAUUAAUUGAUUAUGAAUGCAUGAACUGAGUAUGUUAUUAUAUGCUAUGUGCUGCAUGAAAACUGUUAGAAUUGCUGGGUUGUCGAGCUCACCCUUGCAAAUAACCACUUUUACAGGUUAAGGACUCACGAUAAAGAUUACGUGCUACUUGAUACAUAAAGUUCAAUAGCAUCAAAGGAGAUUUAUUUAUUUAUUUAAAUAUAUGACCUUGAACCAUGUUUAGGUUCUAGGAGAUGUACAUAAUAGUAGUUUACGAUAAGUAAUACAUGUUAAGUUGUACUAUGUGAUACAUAGAGGAAUUCGAAUCGAGAUGUAAAGAUUUUUACAGUAAUUCGAAUAGAAUGAAUCAUAACAUAAUUUGAUUCAAGGAGAUCUAAUUGAUUCAAGUUAAGACAUCAAUAAAAGAUUUUUUUUAAGAGAUUGAAAAAGUUUAAAUUAUUCUGCAUAUUUUUAUAACAUCGAAUAUGAUAUAAGACAAGAAUGGUAAAUGACCAAGAUUAGAAACUUAUAAAAGUUUGGGGUCAUUACACAGAUCCUGGCAAUAGAAAGAAUUUAUUUUCUAAAUUGUAAUAAGCUAAGUUAUAUUCAUUAAGUUAUGAAUAAAAGAUAUAAAUAGUUUGACGAUAGUAGUAUCAUGGCGGACUGGAUCCGAGGUUCGAAGGGACCCGGAUUUGGGGGCGUCACAAUCACUAUUCAAAUACAUACAUAUAUCACCUGCUUAAUAUUGUAUACAUUCUUCAUUUAUUCCACACGUGUCUCAUAAAAAAUAAUAGAAACAUCCAUUCAUUCUUCUAUAGGCCUUAACCUCACAUAUUCAACAUUUGCCUAUAAUAUAAAUUAGGAUUACUUGAGAUUUCACGUAUAUGAAAUUACAUAUUUUCACAUCUCGACUCUUUACACAAUUUAAUACUUCAUAAUAUCAUAACGUAUCUUAUAUUAUUACAAAAAAUUAAUACAACAUCCUAAUCUAUUACAUCAACAUUAUUCAUUCUUUCUAACAACCGUUUCUUUCUCUUUUAUCUAUAUCUUUUGGACCCUUUUGAUCCUUCUGCCUUUUCUAAAAAUUUGAAAUAAAAUGCAAGAGCGAACAACAGAUUUGCUUAACAAGUUUAAAAAUAGUUUAGAAUAAUAAGCACAAGUAUAAAUCCCAGUCACUGAAUUAACAUUACAGAUAAUAAUCUUAAAAAUUCUGAAACACUCAGCAUCAACAACGUAGCAUAACAAAAUGUCACUACAGGAAAAAGACUUAUCUAUAACCACCUAUUAGUGACUGUACUUGGUCGCAGAUGCAUAUCAGCGAUUGAAUGCGGUCGCUGAUAAUAGUCACAUAUAAUCUGGCCGUUGUGUGGAUCCCAACGACCACUAUUAGUGACCGAUAUAUCAGCGACCGCCCUAUAGCGACCGAUGUCGUCGCUAACCUGAGUCACUGUGAGUCAGGUCUCAGGGGUGACGUGGCCCAAUUUUUGCGACCAACAUUAUCGAUCGACGUGGUCACUAAAAACCUCAAGUCAUUUUUUAGCGGUCGCUGAUACGUAUUAGUGACCGCCUGCGGUUGUUGAUACUUAAAUUUUUUUUUUUAAAAAAAGAUUGUUUUGGGGAUUUAAUUCCCUACACAUAUUAGUGUCUAUUUGUACCUGCUUUAUAUCUUAAAACACAGCUGUAUCAAUAAAUAAACCAACAUCCAUACAAAUACAUCGAUCCAUAUAUAUACACAUCCACACAUGUAUAAACAUAUAUAAACAAAUACCAUCCGACUAAAUUUUUUAUACAAAUAAAAUGUCAUAACAUACAAUAUAAACUCCGUACAUUCAUUCGGUAAAAAAAGAAUAAUACAAAUGUUCACAUAAAAGAGAAGAGAACAAUACAAAUGUCUGCAUGCAUCAAAUAUCGUCCAAAUGAAGUUGUAACAAAAUAUGUUAAAUAUAAAGUAUACAUGUUGAUACUGGCGUGACUUAUGCAAAGCAAAAAAUGACCAUUUAUGAUGUAUUACAAUAACAAAAAGCUAAACAUAAAUAAAAAACUAAACAUGUAUUAUUGAAUGUAAAACUAAACUAAGCAUCAAAGCUAAACAUAAAGGUAAACAAUGACAAGAUUACCUCGACAUCAUUAGCAUGUUGUUAUGAUGUUUUCACCACUACAUAAGCUAACUCUUUAGGACUCAGAGAUUGUAAAUAUCCGCCAAUUAUAAAGUCGGUCGUCGUUAAUAAAGCUUGUCCCCAAUACUCCUUGAGAAGUGUAAUCUAGUUAUGGCUCACCUCUCCAUGAAAUCAAGAAACAUCCUCGGUUUGAAAGCCCUAUGCAUUUCAGUUGUUACUCCUGUUUUUGCAAAAUCAACUGCCAUAGAGUGAAGGGUUGCCAACUGAAGAUAUUUUUUACUCAUAACUUUAUUUGACUCAAGGUCUGUAUGUACCAAAUGUGCAAUAGAGAUUGUACCUAAGGUAUCAUUAAUCAGAUAAUUAAUUAACAGAGAACUUUUGAAUUUCCUGCAAAAUUAGACUUAUUGGAAAAUCUCAGACUAUUAUGAACAUAAAUAAAAUAAAAUUUAGCUUUAAACUACCUCUAAUGUCAUAUCAUGAUCCAUCAAGCGUGGUCUUCGUCUAGUAUAGUUCAUGGGGGGGGGGGUACAGUUCAACGUGGGAUGAGAUUAUCAUCCCAACUUAUGAAAUUGAGCUCAACCAUAUAGACCUAGCUCUUCCAUUCCCAAAUCAACUGCUACAGUUCAUUGUAAUUGAACUAAUUAAGGAAGUAACAGUUCAAUAGAUAGAGAGGAAAAGCGGGCCAGGACUGGAAACUGGAAGGGAGUUAAUGAGAAUACAAAGUGUCACCAUUCUUAGAUGUUUCUUUUGCAUUUUUUGUGUAUAGACAAAUAUAUAAAAAUAAAUGUGGCUAUUUUUCAAUACACUCAUUAUUUCUUGAUGUAAAUCAUAUAUUCUCGAUGCAGAAGAUCAACUAGACACUUUCUAUGACGCCCCUAAAAUUAGUCCACACAACCCAUUUUGGGUCGCCAAAUACACACUACAGAAUCUAAAUACAAAUCUUUCAAUUUAUAACUAUUAAAAUGUUGUGUAAAAUACAACAACACAUAAACUGGGAGUUUCAAUAAAAAUAACAGUACUCACACUCCAAACUAAUGAUACUUUACAUAAGGGUAAAAUGCAAAGCAAAUCUGACGUCAGCAUUUUUUAUUUUAUUUUACAUAGUGGACAGGCUGACAUGGCAAAUAUUGAAUUUACCUAGCAAAAAUUAUGUUUGCUGCCAAGAUUUGAACUUGAGACCUCUAGCUUAAAACUUGAACCCAAUAACCAACUAAGCAAACAAGACUAGUUGUUAUAAUUUUGCAAGGAUUAAUAUUUAUAACUGAACAAAUUAUUUUCCCCAAUAAUAACAACAACAACAACAACAACAACAACAACAACAAUAAUAAUAAUAAUAAUAACAAUAAUAAUAAUAAUAAUAAUAAUAACAAUAAUAAUAAUAAUAAUAAUAAUAACAAUAAUAAUAAUAAUAAUAAUAACAAUAAUAAUAAUAAUAAUAACAACAAUGAUAAUAAUGAUGAUGAUAAUAAUAAUAAUAAUGAUAAUGAUAAUAACAAUAAUAAUAAUAAUAAUAAUAACAACAACAACAACAACAACAACAACAACAACAACAACAAUAAUAAUAAUAAUAAUAAUAAUAAUAAUAAUAAUAAUAAAAGACGUUAUUAAAGACAUCAAAGACUCCUACAAAGACAUCGGAUUAUUAUUCAAAUUAUAAUCCAUCAAAGACAUCAGGAAUAGUGGGGAUGUUUAUUCAAAUUUUAUUUUUAUUUUAUUAUUAUUAUUAUUAUUAUUAUUAUUUUGAAAAACUCCUACAAGAUCUGUUAGUUAUAAUCAGUCCAGAACAGAUCCAAAAUUCAGCCAAAAAUCCCACAACAUUUAUAUGAUUCAAAAUCCCACAACAUUUAUAUAAUCCAAGGACAGAGUAACAGUUUUAUAGAUCUAGAUCUAUAUCAACUAAACCCAUAACAGACUAAAUUAACACUCAAAAUAAGAUCUAGGCCUCCGUCGACUACUCCGUUACCAAAAGAAUCGCCGGCGAAACGACGUCCCACAAGAUCCGCCUCUUUCAUCUUUCAUCUUCCUCUCCAAUCCCAAUUAAAUUGAAAAUACAAAACAUUAAUUAAAUUAAAAGGAAAAAAAUAGCCUUCAUCAGAAUCCACCUCUUUCAUCUUCCUGGAUGGUGUUUUCAGUUCAGUCUUGUCCAUCACCUGUGGAAAGAAAAAAUAAUAAAGAGAAGAGAAAGGCACUAGUGGUCCGGUUAAGAACACGUGAUUAAUGACUGCUACAACAUCUCUGACGAACUUCACAAGAUUUUCUCCUAUAUGUUCACCUGUAAAUGAGAAACUCUACUUAUGUUUCGAUUGUCAUAAUAUUUUGAAAUUGUACAAGUAAUUGAUGAAUUCUCGGUCGAAUUCGACUUGGGGUUUUGUUCAACCAUUUUCAAACUUACUAAAUCUCCCCUUUUAUUUUAUUAUAAUUGUUUGUAAGCUUUUAUAAUUGUUUGUAAACUUUUAUAAUUUGUUUUAUAAUUUCUGGAAAUGUCUAAUAUUUUGAAUAUGGGAUAUUUUUAAGUUUUAAUUUUAAGCUUAUUUUUAAAUAUAUUCUUUUUAAAUUUGUAAAUUAGUUUUAAUUUAAAAUUUUUAAUUUUAAUCUAUAAAUUUGCUAAUGUUAAUUGUUUAAUUUUUUAAUUAAUGUUGAUUGUUUAAUUUGUUAUCCUUUUAAUAUUAUGUCGAGGGAAAUGAACUGAUUUAGUAUAAAUCUUAAUUCUUUUGUUAAAAUAAUUGAAAGUUUUAUGUAGCUCAGGUGGUUUAAUGGUCAAAGUUUCAAAAUUGAGAUUUUGGGUUCGAUUCUUGGGGAACUAAGUUUUUUAACAAUUAAUUGAAAAAUGCAUAGAUAAGUAGCUCCACAUGACAAAAAUAUCCACGUCAUCGGUGCCACGUGUGCCACGUAGGCAGGUCAACGCACCUGGGGGCUCAAUAUCCAAAUUUUCAAACAGAAAAAGGGCUCAAUUUGCGUUGACAAAAAAAAAAGGGCUCAAUACCCAAAAACACCUAAAGUUCAGUGAUCACAUUUGCAUUUACAUAAAGGUACAAUCAAUAUAACGAUCGAGAAAUUUGAAAUUUAAUUUUAAUAUUUAUGGAAUUAAAUAAAUAUUUAAAAUUAUUGAGGAAAAUAAAUAUUUGAUGAAUUGUCAUAAAUUAAUUUAGUAGCUAAAUUAAUUAAUGUUAAUUGAAUCGAGUAAUGAUAAUUUUAUUUGUUGGAUUUAAUUUAAGGAGAUAAUUAAAUUAAAUCAAUUGCUUAAUAUUUAAGAAAUUAGUUAAAUUAAAUGAAUUGUUUAAUUUAAAGGAAAUAAAUAAAUUAAAUAUAGUGAUGUGUCUAAUUUAUUAAUUAAAUUAGAUAUAUAAUUAUUUAUUAAUGAUAAUAAGAUUUUUAUUAUUAGUAUUAUAAGUUAUUUAAAUUAACUAAACUAAGUUAUUUAAAUUAAUUAACUAAAAGUGUGAUAUAAAACUAUGUAAUAUAAAUGUUAUUAAAAUAAUUUAGUUUGGGGAAAGUUGGUUAGCCAAACCAGGCCUUAUGGCCUUUGGCAUUAUUCCAACUGACGAGUCUUUUUAUUUUUCUAACGUAAGGGAACGUGGGAGCAGCUAGCUUAUAUUUUUCCUACGCAUAUUAUUUUCUAAGGCUAGCAUUCAGUUUCUUUUAUUAUUCACGUAUUUGACUAAGGAGGAAGAGCAGAGUUGAGAGAAAAGAGAGAGCGUAAGAAUUGAGAGAGAAGAAGAAUUACAAGGAACUUGAGAGAUUGAGAGGAAACCUAAGCAAUUUCAGUGUUAACAAGGGUUAAACAUAUUGAAGGUAUUCUAUCUAACCCUUGUAUUAUAUAUAUAUAUAUAUAUAUAUAUAUAUAUAUAUAUAUAUGAACUUACGGCAAAUUUGUUAUGUUUUGUUAAUUGUAAUUCUUUCAAAAUUGUUGUGUAACUAAAGUAUGGUGGAUGUGUGGUAUAAUGCUAGAGUUUAUGUUUAAAACGAGAAGUUUGUAUGCUAAAUUCGUUGACAGUAGGAAGAAAAUUUUGACAGUAUAUGUGUUUCAUAUGGUUCAUGGAAAAGUAUUAAUUUUGAUGGCCAAUUCUUAUGUUAAACUAUAAAUUUAAGCUUGUAUAUGUUAGUUCGUUGAGAUACGAGCAUAACGUAAUUUGAAGGAGGUGAUUUGGUCAAAUAAUGAAUUCACAGUGAUGAUUUUUGGGAUAGACUAUCAAAAAUGGAGUUUUAUAUAAAAAACAUGAAAAUUGAGAAAUUAAAAUAGUUUUAGUUGUUGUUAAUUUGUGCUAAGUGGUUGAAUAUGUUAGCAAUCAUGUUUAUGAUAGUUGUAUAUUUAUUUUUCAUGUUGUUAUCACCGUUUGAUGGAUGAAAUUGGUGUUUGUUGGGCUAAAGUCGGCUACUGUUCAUUAGCCUUCUCUGCGUCUGUCUGAACACCGACGCAACUGCGCCGGUGCCAAGGCAAAAAACGACGCAGCUGCGCCGGUCCCAGGCUUAAGUAUGGCGCAGCUGUGCCAUACCCUGGUCUGAGACAGUGAAGUCUGCUUAUUUGCAGAUCAUGUGUAAUGGACUUAUAUUAGUUUAGCAUGCAUGUUAAUGAUGUUGAGGCAUAAUAUAAACUACAAUAACAGAUUGUCAUGCGUUGUUAUAUAAAGUGUAAAAGAAUUUAAGUGAUUACUUGAAUAAGUUUUGUAAUGAACCAAAUGUGACGUUUUCAAAAGUUAAAUAUAAAUGAUAAGGUUUAUAGUGUGAUUGCAGAAUUGUUAAGGUGUUAACCAACGUGGUUAGGUGCUAGGUUAGGGUUAUGACCUAAAUGUUGGUUUAAACCCUAAAAGCUAAUAUUCAUACAAUUAAUUGUUGUUGUGAUUUCAAUGAUAUGUGUAGGGUAAUUGGAGAUUAUCUUACAUUUGUGUAGCUUACAAAAAAGGCAAGUUUUCUAACUCUACCUUGUUAUUAUUGAGCAAGUUCUUAAAUCUUAACUCUUUACAUUGAGCAAAACUUUCUAACUUCAUUAUUUUCAUAUUAAAUGCAAGUUUCCAUUCCUAAAUUAUUAUUGUGCAAGUUCCUAACAUUCUUUAUGAAGUUGAGCAAGCUUAACCUAUCUUGCGUAUGUUUGUACAAGCUUAUAUAACCUAAUUCGUUACGUUGAGCGAGAUUUAGUUUCCUAAUUAUUAUUUAAAGCAUAUAUUGUUCUAAAACAUUGAUUCAAGGGAGAUUGUUUUAACUCUUCUAUAGCGCUUUGCAUGUAUAUCAUGUUUACUCAAUUAUAUAUUAUUGUUAUUCAAUAUUUGACUUUGAUAACCUUGUUCAAAGCUUUAUCGUUGUAUUAAACCUUCAAUUAGUAAGAAAACAUUUAUUAAUUGAAUUAAUCUAUAUUCGAAUAGUGUUCUAAAAUUCUAGAAACACUGAUAAGCUAGUUCCAAACUAAACUUUCUUUAGUGCGGAAAUUCUAAAUCCAAACUGAGACGAACAACCCUAACAUAGGGGAUUUUGUACGUGUAACAUUUAGAUGUUUGUACACAAUACAUGGUACAAAGGGCUGAUCCCCCUAAGUACGUUAAGAAGGGUCCGUAUAGUCUAAAUGACUGUUAAGGUUGGGUAAUAAUACCUAAGUACCGGGGACAUAGUCCAUGGUCUUAAGACCCUCAGAUAAUUAAAGUUCGAACUUUUUUUCUAGUUUGAUUUGUAGAACAAAUUCCUUAUUGUUCAGCUUUUGUUGUUCACUCUCAUGUUACUACCAUUGCUACUUUCUAUAUUAGUGAGCAUUUGUUUGCUCACUCUUGCAAUUAACACUGUAGCUAAAGUGGAGAAAGUUGAUGAGUCAUCGACUAGCAAAGGCAAGGGCAAGAUGUCCAAAUGAUGAAGACUUAUGAGAAUUUUAUUUUAAUGAAUUAUGUUAAAGACUUGUUUUAAUAUGUGAUGUAUUCCGCAAACUUAUGUAAUAAUUUUAAGGUUAGAUUAUCUGGGAUUUAUUUUGAGAUGAUGAUGUAACCCUUUAAUGGGGAAAAUUAUUGUUUAAGUUAUUUAAAAUUAUGUCUUUAUCCUUUAUUAUGGGUAGUUAGAUGUAAUAGUUUGUGAUAAGUGAGCACCAAAUCCUGUGGGAAUGGAGUACCUGGAUUUGGGGGUGUCACAAUCAAUAACUAUUUUAGGAAUUAAAAUUUUUAAAAAAUGCUCAAGGAAGCCUUCAUACAUGGGAGGCCAUGCAUUUAUGUUAUGAUAGAUAUCAUUUGACUUGAGAAUUAACCUUGGUUGACUCAAUAGACCCCAAAGAAGAACGAGAAUAUUACUAUCCUGUUCAUUCCAAUGGUGUGUAUCUUUUUGCCAUAUAAUUAUCUCCAUUGACUCAAACUGAGGAUUAUAUUCUAACCAUACUCCAAGAUUAUAUAGAUAAUGUUCAUAGAUAUAGUCAGCAAGUGGAUGCACACAACUAUAUCUUAUGAUAACACGGAUUUGUAUGUGGUUAAACAUCAUAUAUGAUAGUAUAUGAUAUAUGAUAUGUCCUCCCAGUAUAAUUAUGUCCUCCUCAUUAUAAUGGUGUGCAUUUUUGAUGCUUCAAAAGUCGGAUUCUCAUCACCUUAUUGUUGUUCACCAAAAUUAACUAUUAAAUGACGUAUAAAAUACGACACACACAUUUUAAGUCCUCAAUACAAUUAUAUAUUAUCAUGCUAUUUUAUAAUGUAUUGAGAAACUUCAACAGACACAGACUAUAACUCUAUUCCCCUGUUAUCCCUGCUCAAUCCAGCUACACUUUUAUUACCUGAAAGAAAUUGUGAAGCAAAAGGGUGAGCACAAAUAGACCAGUAAAGAAUAUUAUGACUAAAGAUAAUUAAAUUAUCAAUAGUCGUCAUCAGUAAUAAUAUAUAAAAUAUUUAGAACAUAUGGUAGAUGAUAAAAGUUUUCAAGCAUAAUUACAGCGGAAUCAACAAUCUAUUAGAAGAGUCAAGUAGAACAUAAUGUCUACUAUCUCCUCCAAAUUAAAAGUCCAUCAUUAAUAUUUCAUUCCUGUAAUACCCAUCAAUGGUUCUUUGUUGUACCCAAAACAAAGAGAACUUUUAUCACCUUUCUUCACCUGAACCACCAAAGAUUAUAGUUAAAAUCAUAAUUCAUGUUUAUAAUAAUGUAAAUCAAUAGUUUCUCCUUGCCACAAAGGGUUAAUAGAACUUUCACUCAAUGUUCUUGUCAUAAAGGCUAAAGACACUCAAUAAUCAUAUCGUCUUUACACCUUGCACUAAAGACAUUCAAUUGUAACAAUAAUUGUCAUGAUCAUACCAAUCAAUUAUCUAUCUUUGCACUACGUGCCAAAGAUAUUCAACUGUAAUAUCAGUGGUCAUGAUCAUACCAAUCAAUUGUCUAUCUUUGCACUACGGGCCAAAGAUGUUCAGCUGUAAAACUAAUAAUCAACAGUCCAUCUUUUCACUAUGAACCAAAGAUAUAUAACUGUAAAAUCAAUAAUCAACAGUCCAUCAUUGCACUACGGGCCAAAGAUAUACAACUGUAAAAUCAAUAAUCAAUAGUUUAUCUUUGCACUACGGGCCAAAGACAUAACCUUGUAAAUCCAAUAAUCAGCUGUUCAUCUUUGCACUACAGGCUAAAGACAUACAACUGCAACACCAAUGAUCAUGAUUAUACCAAUACACAAUUCCGUUCAUGGUUAUACCAAUACACAAUUCAUGUUCAUAAUCAUACCAAUCAAUAGUUCAUCUUUGUACUAUGGGCCAACGAUAACUUUCCAACAUAAAUUUAAGUCUGAGGAUGAUAACAAUGAUAUAAAGAAUGAAUCAAGUGAGAUCAAGAAUAAAUAUUAAAAAUUUAUAAUUCAAUUUAUCCAAAGUUCAGGAAUGUCCAAAUUGUUAACAUGAUAACUAAUUGUAGAGUAAAAUUCAAGAAUGAUAUUCAUGUAUCAAAAAUAAUUUGGACAGAAAAAAAUAAAUUUUGUCGUGAAUAGUACCCCGAAUAUUCAAUACACUCAUUAUUUUUUGAUGUACAUCAUAUAUUCUUGAUGUAGAAGAUCAACCACACUUUCACUCAAUAGAAAUAUUAAUCACCUGAGUCUCUCUGAAAUUUUCAACUACUCCAUGAGAGUACAUUGCAAGCAAAGGUUUUUAGCGAUUAAUUCCUAGUGAAUUAAGAGUUCAUUGCUUAAAAGGGUUGUUUCCUUGAGAGAUGAACACUGAAAACCUUUGCAAGCAAUGAACGCUCGGGGUUGGGAGUGUGGUCAACUUACAGAGUUAGAUCUAUGAGUCCCUAACAUCUCUAAUUGAAAUUUCUAAAUUAUCCGGUCCUUGUAUAUUUUUCGGUGGACAGUUUCUACCAAAACAAGACAAAGCUGAAAAAACCGAAAAACCCUACUGCCCUAAAAUUUUUGUGGGUUGUUUGGGCCACUUAAACAUUGAAAUAAAUUUAGGCCUUUUGGGAAAUGAAAAUAUAUGAUAUAAUGAAACUCUGGUCAGAAGAUGAACAAAUUCCUACAUCAGACGAAGGAGUUAUGACCAAUUCAAUAUUAGGAUUUUUCAGAUAAAAACUGUCAUAACUUGAGUUCUACAACUCUGAUGACCACAAAAUUAAAAAUGGAAAUUCAUGUUAAUAUGUAUAAAAUUCUUCCAAGACUUGGGAAUUUUUGGAGUUGAGCAUGAUAUAGUUCAUUUUACUAAGUUACGUACUAAAAUGGCUCUUUGAAAAAUAAGAAAAUUGAAAAAUUGUAAUACAAUUAUUUUUUUGUGGAAAAUAUAUAGGUAUGUGUGUCCAGGCAGAGAAAAAAAAUAAUAUAAUGGUUAAGGAGGCCUAAUGAAGAAAAUAAAGUUACGAGAAGGUAAAAUAAUUACUUACCGACAAGUCUGGAAUUAUUAAAAUAAUUUAUAUCGGCUAGAAUAUGUUGACAUUUGACGUAUGAGUUUAUGUAAAGGUUAAUCACAUAUUUUUAUGAGAAUCUUAUAAUUAUCACGUUUAUGUUUGUUUAAGUCGAAAGAUUAAUUAUCAGAAUAGGUUACGAUAAUUACCGGCGAUAUAUAAUUAUUAUAAAGUGAUGAUUAGUUUAAUCAUAUAAAUUGUCAUGAAUAAUGUAGCUUAUCAUUUGAAGGAAGUUAUCAUUGCGUUUCCACGGGGUAGAACCUCCUCAGGGGGGGGGGGAGACCCGGGGAAAUCCCCUGAGGGGCAUCCGGAGCGCCGGAGGAAAGAAGCGCAAGGGCGUGAAGCUUUCCGUGGACAGGACAGGGUCCGUCAACUAGCUUAGCUACCGAUUGGGGGAUGCUUUCACCUUGAAGGUAUUAACGGGCUUGAGCCAGGCCACGCAAGCAAAGGAAAGAUUAAUUAUAGNNNNNNNNNNNNNNNNNNNNNNNNNNNNNNNNNNNNNNNNNNNNNNNNNNNNNNNNNNNNNNNNNNNNNNNNNNNNNNNNNNNNNNNNNNNNNNNNNNNNUCUGCUCUUUCCGGUAAGUGAGUAGGGCCAGUCCCACACGAUUAGCAUAGAUAAGACAAGUCAGGUAGGAUUGGUCGGAGAAGGAUUGGACAUUUCCAUUGAUCAGCUCAUCCAAUCCAGUCUAUGAUCAGGCAAGGGGGCCUAAAAGUAGACGUAACUAUAGGCUUAAGCUCGCUUAAAUGCAAUUUAUCCUUAGGCCGAAUACCUAGUUGAGAGGGGUCCCUAAUGUGAGACCCUUCGUCCAUUCAUUCAGGAUCAAAAGCGGGCCUAAUUGAAUCAUCUCAUCGAGGAUUGCAUGUGAAAAGAUCGGAUCUUCGAAAUCCCCAAUCGUUCGUUACUGAACCUAAAAACUCGCCGCUUCUCAUGUAAAGUAGUGUUCUCGCUAGCUGGAACGGAACUCUCAAAUGGAGGAACAAGCGUAGGCCUUCUUUGAGUAUAGCUUCAAGUAGCUCUAAGAAGUUUACGUCUCGGUUCGGCACUCGGCUUUCUGAAGUUCUUCCAUUCCAGGGCGUGAAGCUUUCCGUGGACAGGACAGGGUCCGUCAACUAGCUUAGCUACCGAUUGGGGGAUGCUUUCACCUUGAAGGUAUUAACGGGCUUGAGCCAGGCCACGCAAGAAAAGGAAAGAUUAAUUCUAGGCCAGUGAAAUGAAUUAGAUGGAAAAACACCGAUACAGAUAAGUUUUUCAGAACUUUUUUUUAUGUGUAAACUUAUUAAUUGUUAUGGGGAAGUACUUUAUGUAUUAUAUGUAAUUCUUAUGAAUUGUUUAAGAGGUGCACUAUGUGUUUUAGUGUGAUACGAAUUUAUUGAAAUUAAUUGAUGAUUGAAGUUAGUUUAGUUAUGAAAACUUACUAUAUUGU
rnacentral:lncRNA from 1 species